AUUUUGCACCGCCUCCGGCGGGCAAAAUUGGUGAGGAAAGUCCGAACACUUAUCCGCCGUUGAGGCGGAAAGAGUAGCGGGUAACGCCCGUCCGAAGUAAUUCGCGAGGUGCGAGCAGAGACGCUUCCAACGAAAGAAGGGAGCAUCCGCCGUAAGACGGAUGAGCUCCCAAGGUAACUUGGGAGGUGAAACGGCUAAAUCCUUACUUGAGUGCAAGGUCGUACUGUUUCUCUAAAGAAACUUUGUGCCGCUAGAGGUUAUCGGCAACGAUAAUCGGAGAUAAAUGGCUAUCGCCAUCCGAAAGGAUGCGUACAGAAUUCGGCUUAUAGGUACGGAAAACAA
rnacentral:RNase_P_RNA from 1 species